rnacentral:rRNA from 1 species
CAUGCAAGUCAAGGAGAACGGGGAUCUUCGGAAUCCCUAGUAAACUGGCGAACGGGUGAGUAACACGUAGGUAACUUGCCCGUCGGACGGGGAUAACCCUGCUAACGCGGGGCUAAUACUGGAUAACAUCCUGAUAUCGCAUGGUAUGAGGAUCAAAGUUGCCUUCGGGUAACACCGAUGGAUGGACCUGCGUCCCAUUAGCUAGUUGGUAGGGUAACGGCCUACCAAGGCGACGAUGGGUAGCCGGCCUGAGAGGGUGUCCGGCCACACUGGGACUGAGAUACGGCCCAGACUCCUACGGGAGGCAGCAGUGAGGAAUAUUGCGCAAUGGGCGGAAGCCUGACGCAGCAACGCCGCGUGGAUGAUGAGGCUCUAAGGAGUGUAAAGUCCUGUUAGGAGGGAAGAAUAGUACUGAUGCGAUAAGUAUCAGUAUUUGACGG